CGGGGUGCACCAGGCGCGAAACCUCUACAAUGCACGAAAGUGUGAUAGGGGGAUCCUAAGUGCUUAUGUUUUACAUAAGCUUUUGCCAAGCGUAAAUAACUUGGAGAAUAAGUGGUGGGCAAGACUGGUGCCAGCCGCCGCGGUAACACCAGCGCCACGAGUGGGAAUCGCAUAUUUGGCCUAAAGCGUCCGUAGCCGGCCUUGUAAAUUCUUUGUGAAAUCGAUAAGCCUAACUUAUCGGCGUGCAGAGAAGACUGCUUGGCUCGGAAUCGGGAGGGGUCGGGAGUAUUCGAUGGGGAGCGGUAAAAUGCGAUAAUCCAUUGAAGACUACCUGUGGCGAAGGCGCCCGACCAGAACGAAUUCGACGGUGAGGGACGAAAGCUGGGGGAGCGAUCCGGAUUAGAUACCCGAGUAGUCCCAGCUGUAAACUCUGCGAGCAAGGUGUUGCGCAAUUUUUGGGAUUGCGCAGUAUCGAAGCGAAGGCGUUAAGCUCGCCGCCUGGGGAGUAUGGUCGCAAGACGGAAACUUAAAGGAAUUGG
rnacentral:rRNA from 1 species